GGGCUUGUGGUUUAGUGGUAUAAUACUCCCUUAGCAAGCCUCAGGUUUCUGAGUAAUCGCUAAGAUGGCAACAUUUGGGAGUGGUCCGGGGUUCGAUUCCCCGCGAGUCCA